GGGCCCGUAGCUCAAGGGUAGAGCGCCCGGCUCAUAACCGGUUGGUUGCAGGUUCGACUCCUGCCGGGCCCA
rnacentral:tRNA from 1 species